GUGCUCGAGUAGAAGGGGCCGGAGGGCGGGGAGCGGUUCGGCGUGGUCAUCCUGGACCCUGGGGGCUGGCGGGCGGCGUGUGCGGUCUCGGAGGGCCCGAGGCGGUGGAGCGCGGCCGGAUCCACCUCCGACCCUUAAGCCAGAGACUCAGCCACCAGAGAAACGGCGGAGAACAAUUGAGGAUUUCAACAAAUUCUGCAGUUUUGUUUUGGCAUAUGCUGGUUACAUUCCCCCUAGCAAAGAGUGACUGGCCAGCCUCUGGCUCCAGCUCUCCAUUGCGAGGAGAGAGUGCGGCCGACAGUGAUGGCUGGGACUCGGCCCCCUCAGAUCUUCGAACCAUCCAGACUUUUGUUAAGAAAGCAAAGUCAUC
rnacentral:lncRNA from 1 species